rfam:Citrus clementina cultivar Clemenules unplaced genomic scaffold scaffold_6, whole genome shotgun sequence.
GGUCUAUGAUGAUAAGUUCAAAGGCUUGUUUCUCAAAACAUUCGCAGUGGCCGCCUGAGUGCUUUCGCCUUCGCCGGGCUUGAGAGCGGAUGCUGCUUUUAUCCUUCCUUGGAUGUCUGAGACC